GUCUAGGGCCAUGCCACCCUGAACGGGUCUGAUCUCAUCUGAUCUUGGAAGCUAAGCAGGGUUGGGCCUACUUAGUACUUGUAUGGGAGACCACUUAGGAAGACCAGGUGCUGUAGGCA
rnacentral:rRNA from 1 species